AUACGGAGGGGGUUAGCGUUGUUCGGAAUUACUGGGCGUAAAGCGCACGUAGGCGGACUGGAAAGUUGGGGGUGAAAUCCCGGGGCUCAACCCCGGAACUGCCUCCAAAACUUCCAAUCUAGAGAUCGAGAGAGGUGAGUGGAAUUCCAAGUGUAGAGGUGAAAUUCGUAGAUAUUUGGAGGAACACCAGUGGCGAAGGCGGCUCACUGGCUCGAUACUGACGCUAAGGUGCGAAAGCGUGGGGAGCAAACAGGAUUAGAAACCCUAGUAGUCC
rnacentral:rRNA from 1 species